AAAGUCGUAACAAGGUUUCCGUAGGUGAACCUGCGGAAGGAUCAUUAAUAAAUCCAAAACCAAGUGGUGGGGGAGGGCCGGAUGCUAUUCUGCUUAACCGUGGAAUAGCAUCCUCCCCCCUCAUCAUUUACUCAUCUUUGUGAACCGGCAAUCUUUCUUCUUGAGAGCAUCUGAUUUGUUUCUAGUGCUCUUUGGAGGGGAGUUUGCUACACACACACGUCUUUUUUUUAUAUCAAUACAUUUGAUGUCACUUUUUUAUAUUAUUUGUGACUGUACUAUGUGUAAACGUAGCAGUACCAAUUCUAAAUAAAAACAACUUUUGACAACGGAUCUCUAGGUUCUC
rnacentral:misc_RNA from 1 species